AGAGCUCUUUCUGCUGCUUACAGAGUCAGCUUCACUCUGAUUAUGUUCAUUUGGCUCACUCUGCUGCUCCUCCAAUACUUCAGGAUCCAAGGUUCCCUGUGUUUUGCUGUUGCUGAGGCAAGGAAAACCCCGGAUCAGGAUCAGGAGCAGGAUCAGGAGUCAUCAGAGGGAAUUGAACUCAACAGCCGUGUGCCUUAGCCUGGAUUCAACCGGAUUAGUGUUGCACUGUCCUGAUGAAGACUGGUCUGACCGGUACUAUACCAGUCAGACCGGUGUCCCGACAUUGAGCUGUCUCGAUAAAAACUGGUCUGAUUUGAAUAACGUUGCACUGUCCUGAUGAAGACCAGUCUGAUUUGAGCAGCUUUAUUCUUGAGUGUUUCCUGUUAAAAAUAUUCCAUAGUAAAUAAGCUUGCUGAGGUUGCCUGCUUUAUAACAAUGGCCUCUAUUCAUCAAUAUGUUGCUCCCUAAAAAACUCCCUCUUCUGAAUGGAUUUAGAAUGAUUUGAGCACAGUUUCUGAAUCAUCAAAGGAGUGUUUCAGUUUCCUGAUAACUGUGUGAUGUCAUUUCACAUUGUGUGAUGUCAUUUCAUACCAGAAUGUGACUGUUUUUGACAUUCAGUGAAUUGAUCUCUUCUACCACACGUUUACCUCGUCUGAAACAGUCCCUCAGCUCAAAUUCAGGGGUUUUCUAAACAGCAGCAUUGUGAUGAAUAGGAGCCGAUAGACGUUUUGAAGGGGCUGCAGUUCUGCAAAAUGAAACUAUUUUUUUCAGCGUAAUGAUUGUUAUUGAGGUUUUGGUCAGGCUGGUGAAGAUUGUUUUGUUUUUGAGAUUUUGAGAUUUUCGUGUGUGACAAUAUUUUCUAUUAAGCAUAUAGUGAUAAGAUUUGCUUCAUAUUAACGCAGGAUAAAAAUGUUCUAGAGACCUAUUGAUCUACUUCACUGAUGUCUUAAUGGGGGUGUCUGUGCUGGACACUAGAGGGCAGUGUAGAGUCAUACCCUUCCCAGUAAUUAAUGAAUGCCCUGAGGAUAUAUCCGUGAUCCUCUUAGAAUCCCCCCCUCCCCACCUUCCUACAACUCAGUCAGAUGAGAAUGCGGAUGCAAAUUUGUUUUAAU